CCAAGAUCAUGGCCAAACACAGUGAUCAAAGGUUCACAGUGAGUCCUGCUGGCCUGGCCUCUUCUCGCAGUGAAGGAAACUUUCAGUGUUUUCAGCCUCCAACCUAAUGAACUAGUUAUGUAUAGGAACAUUUUACACCUGAAUGCAAGUUCAAAGAAUCAGUAUUUGAAAACUACUACGUAACAUAUUCUUCAAUGAUCUAUAGACAGCAACAGUCUGGCCGGGGUUGGUAUUUGGGUCUUAACAAGGAAGGAGAAAUAAUGAAAGGAAACCACGUGAAGAAAAAUAAACCUGCAGCACACUUUCUUCCAAAACCAUUAAAAGUGGCCAUGUACAAAGAGCCUUCUCUCCACGAUCUCACAGAGUUCUCAAGAUCUGGAAGUGGGACCCCAACAAAGAGCAGAAGUGUUUCAGGAGUGCUAAAUGGGGGUAAAUCCAUGAGCCAAAACGAGUCAACGUAGCCAGGUUAAGGCAAGCCAAGUGCUCUCUAAACAGAACCUUACCUCUGGAUGCAGUUGAAUUCUUACUAGCAGUCUUUCAUCCAAAUGUUCAAUUGCCCAGGACAAGCCACCGAACUUGCAUAGGUCACUCGUUUAUCAGCCAUUAGAUCUACUGGUUGUCAAAGGAUAUACCCCAAUAAUGUAGAAUAUGCUUGUGCAUAUCACAAGGCACUUGGAUAGCCAGCAAACAUAACUGCGGAUUAAAUCUCGGAGAAGAGGUGUCCAGA